AAAAUUAUCAUGGACCAGAAUGCAUGUCAAGGAGCAAAGUGGGACGAAGGAUCCAGAAGACACACGUGGGCCCCGGCAUGUGAAGAAUGAAGGCCGUAUCGUCAGCAGGUGUCUCAUUUCCUGCAGAACGGGCUGCACCGGGAUAAAAGGGCCCCAGUGGCAGUGCUCCUCAUUCACUCACUGCUGCUCCUUUGCACCAGGCCUUCUUCCCAAACAAGCUUUGCCUACGCCAGAAAGAUGUGCUCCCACGGGUCCUGCCACAACCGCCACAGGUCCUGCCAUGGCUCCAGCUCUCACUGCCACGAGUCCAGACCCUCCUGCAAUAUCGUUGUGGUAGAGAAACCAUACUGCUGCCCCGUGCCGCGCUACUGUCCACCCGUGUCCUGCUGCUACCCACGCUACCAGUAUUCACAGUGCUGCAAGUUCCCACAGUACCCCAAGUACCCACAGUACCCCAAGUAGGAGGCAGCACCAAGAUGAAAGCCAAGACCUGCUUGAUCCAUGCUUCUUCUUGUGCCUCCAGCUCAUCUCAGCUUCUUCGAUGAAAUGCAGAUUCUCUCCUCUCCUGUCCUCUCCCAUUUGCUUAACCCAUGACUACACCUUAUAUGCUUUGAAGAUCUACCUACAGUGGAAAGCUGAGUUCUUAAUAAGGACCAUCAUUAAUGAUAUUUGUGCUCAUUGACGAUGGAGAAGUUCUGUUGUUGUGAAUAUUUCUUCCCUCUCCCUGUCCUGCUUCAGUUUCCAACCAGAUCUGCCACACAAUAAAAUAAUCAUUCACAACA